AUUUGAAGUGACUUGGCAAAAUACUGUAUUUUAGUGAUUUGAGAUGCACGUAUUUUUCAAAUUAUAAUAUCUUGAACUCAGGAUAUGUAUUACAAUUAGUUGUUAGUGUGUUAUAGUUGGCUGGACAAUGUUUUUUCUUUAUAAGGAAUACAAAGUAAUGGUGCCUCUUACAAUCAGUUGCAUCUUACGAGUCAAUGAAGCUCAUAAUAAUUUAUUGAAUACGUAAGAAUCCCCCAUUCUGCUUUUUCUUUCUCCUUUUUUCCAGGAAUGUAAAAAACUUCGUGGUGUAUUCUUGGGGUCAGCUUGUGGUCAUCAUGGACCUUAUAUUCCAGAUGUGCUCUUUUGGUGUGUCAUCUUGUUUUUCACAACAUUUUUUCUGUCUUCAUUCCUCAAGCAAUUUAAGACCAAGCGUUACUUUCCUACCAAGGUGCGAUCGACAAUCAGUGAUUUUGCUGUAUUUCUCACAAUAGUAAUAAUGGUUACAAUUGACUACCUUGUAGGAGUUCCAUCUCCUAAACUUCAUGUUCCUGAAAAAUUUGAGCCUACUCAUCCAGAGAGAGGGUGGAUCAUAAGCCCACUGGGAGAUAAUCCUUGGUGGACCUUAUUAAUAGCUGCUAUUCCUGCUUUGCUUUGUACCAUUCUCAUCUUUAUGGAUCAACAAAUCACAGCUGUAAUUAUAAACAGAAAGGAACACAAAUUGAAGAAAGGAGCUGGCUAUCACCUUGAUUUGCUCAUGGUUGGCGUUAUGUUGGGAGUUUGCUCUGUCAUGGGACUUCCAUGGUUUGUGGCUGCAACAGUGUUGUCAAUAAGUCAUGUCAACAGCUUAAAAGUUGAAUCUGAAUGUUCUGCUCCAGGGGAACAACCCAAGUUUUUGGGAAUUCGUGAACAGCGGGUUACAGGGCUAAUGAUUUUUAUUCUAAUGGGCCUCUCUGUGUUCAUGACUUCAGUCCUAAAGGUAAAAUUUCUUUAUUGCCGUGUUUUACAAUCUUAUUAUAACAUUUAUACUUAGUUAUGUGAACAUGAAACAUUAAAAUAUACUUAAAAUACCUAAAAUUAGGUUUGUUUUCCACAGUUUACUUGGGAAAUAAUUUCAUUAGGUUUUUAGUAUAGCAAGCAUUUCAGUGGUAAGCUGUAUAUAUUUUUAAAAUAAUGUAUACCAGGUGUAGUGGCUUACGCCUGUAAUCCCAGCAAUUUGGGAGGCCAAGGAAGGAGGAUUGCUUGAGGCCAGGUGUUCAAGACCAGCCUGGGCAACAUAAUGAGACCCUGUCUCUAUAAAAAUAAAAAUAAUUAGCCAGGUAUGGUGGCAUGCUCCCGUGGUGCCAGCUGCUCAGGAGGCUGAGGUGGGAGGAUCGCUUGAACCUGGGAGGUCAAGGCUGCAGUGAGCCGUGAUUGGGCCACUGCACUCCAACCUGGGUGACAAAGUGAGAUCCUGUCUC
rnacentral:lncRNA from 1 species